ensembl:lncRNA
CCCGGGAAAGUCCAUGAAUGAGUUCAUAAUUCCUGUUUAAGGAAAAUUCGUUUCUUGUUCAAUUGUGAAUCGCAGAAAAAAAAAAGAAAAGAAAAACAGGUCAAGGGCGCGCGCUUAGAGAACCAGGUGCGGGCGCUCUCGUGGGCGCCAAACCACAUGAUACGAGCAGCCAGCCAUCCGAUCGCGGAAGUGCGACUUUUUUUGGACCGUGGAGGCGGGAGGGGGGGGUAGACUGGGGGAGGAAAGGAAGGCAGAGCCGAAAAGAAAAGUUUCAUGAUAUUACUCGCACUCGACGUGGAAAUGAGCCUGGCGAGACCAGUGCUUUAUUGGGUGUCUGGACCGUCUUUUGUUCCUCAAAUGUGAUAUUUUCAGCAGUUGAUCUGAACAGAGCAGGACCGGAAUCGAGGGGCAGAGAGGAGAGAAAGCGAUCGGGAAAACUGACACACAAAAGAGCGUUUUCCAAUGGAGUAUGUGGUAAGCGUUUCCCCAAAAAUACCUGCAUGUACGUAUCCCCAGGCAUGGAGGCUGGUCAUACAUUAUCGAAAAACCUGACCUGA